GUAGUCUCGCACAGAUGCAUAUCAAUAAGCGGAGGAAAAGAAACUAACAAGGAUUCCCUUAGUAACGGCGAGUGAAGCGGGAAGAGCUCAAAUUUGAAAUCUUCAAGGGUUCUACCUUUACGAAUUGUAGUUUAAAGAAGUGUUUUCUGUUGAGGAUUGAGUACAAGAGUUCCUUGGAAUAGGGACAUCAUAGAGGGUGAGAAUCCCGUAUUUGGUUACUUCAUUCUAACUUUGUGAUACACUUUCAAAGAGUCGGAUUGUUUGGGAAUGCAGUCCAAAAUGGGUGGUAAAUUUCAUCUAAAGCUAAAUAUUGGCGAGAGACCGAUAGCGAACAAGUACCGUGAGGGAAAGAUGAAAAGAACUUUGAAAAGAGAGUUAAACAGUACGUGAAAUUGUCAAAAGGGAAGCGUUUGACACCAGUGUUGUUUUCUCGAAAAUCAAUUAAAAAGAGUUUGAUUUUGUUGUGUAUUGACCUUAACAGCUUGCAUUUCAAUUUUCUUGCUUUUUUUAAUGCACUUUUCGUUUAACAAGUCAACAUCAGUCUCUUUUGUUGUAAAAAGGUCAGUUGGAAGGUGGCUUUCUUUUCGGAGAAAGUGUUUAUAGCCUUUGACUCCUGCAAUCGGAGAGACUGAGGUCUGCAGCGUAGAUCCUUCGGGGUUAGAUACAUUUGUGCUAAGUUAUAGCUUUUUAUAGACAACUUGUUGACUAUGAUUAGUCUUGUAGCUUACUCGCUUAUGCUAUUUUACCUACGCUUAGGAUGUUGAUGUGAUACUGCGAGCA
rnacentral:rRNA from 1 species